GUGUCAGCAGCCGCGGUAACACGUAAGGGGCGAGCGUUGUUCGGAAUUAUUGGGCGUAAAGGGCACGCAGGCGGCCUGACAAGUCUGGUGUGAAAUCUCCGGGCUCAACUCGGGAAACGCGCUGGAAACUGUCAAGCUAGAGUAUUGGAGGGGGAGUCGGAAUUCCUAGUGUAGGGGUGAAAUCUGUUGAUAUUAGGAAGAACACCGGUGGCGAAGGCGGACUCCUGGCUGGAUACUGACGCUGAGGUGCGAAAGCAUAGGGAGCAAACAGGAUUAGAUACCCUUGUAGUCC
rnacentral:rRNA from 1 species